CAAUAGCGUAUAUUAAAGUUGUUGCAGUUAGAACGCUCGUAGUCGGAUUUCGGGUCGGGCCGACCGGUCUGCCGAUGGGUACGCACUGGUCGGCGCGUCCUUCCUCUCGGAGACUGUUCCUACUCUUAACUGAGCGGGAGCAGGAUACGGGACUUUUACUUUGAAAAAAUCAGAGUGUUUCAAGCAGGCAGCUCGCUCUUGCAUGGAUUAGCAUGGGAUAAUGAAAUAGGACUUUGGUGCUAUUUUGUUGGUUUCGAACACCGAAGUAAUGAUGAGAAGGGACAGUCAGGGGCACUCGUAUUCCGCCGAGAGAGGUGAAAUUCUCAGACCAGCGGAAGACGAACCACUGCGAAAGCAUUUGCCAGGGAUGUUUNCACUGA
rnacentral:rRNA from 1 species